GAGGAUGUAGCUCAGUGGUAGAGUGUGUGCCUGGCAUGCACGAGGUCCUGGGUUCAGUUCCCAGCACCUCCA
rnacentral:tRNA from 1 species